rnacentral:snRNA from 1 species
GGAUGAGAGGGUGAUCUGGCUGGAACAUCCAUCACGCCAUUGAUCACCAGAGUUGGUUUGGCUGAUCCAGCUGGCUAGGCGGGUGUCUCCUUCCCCGACUCACUGCUCCCAAAGCUGCGAGCUUGAUCAAAGAACAACCACCCCACAAUAGAGGAGGACAGUUUCCUUGCUGAAGGGUAUACGAGUAGCUGCUCCCCUGCUAGGACCUCCAAACAAGCUCUCAAAAGUUCAAGGCCAGCCUGCUCAACUUAGCAAGACCCUAUCUCAAAAUGAAAUACAGAGGGCUGAGAAUGUAGCUCCCUGGGUU